rnacentral:rRNA from 1 species
GACGAACGCUGGCGGCGUGCUUAACACAUGCAAGUCGAACGGUAAGGCUCCAGCUUGCUGGGGUACACGAGUGGCGAACGGGUGAGUAACACGUGGGUGACCUGCCCUGCACUUCGGGAUAAGCCUGGGAAACUGGGUCUAAUACCGGAUAGGACCAUGGUGUGGAUACUGUGGUGGAAAGUUUUUUCGGUGUGGGAUGGGCCCGCGGCCUAUCAGCUUGUUGGUGGGGUAAUGGCCUACCAAGGCGGCGACGGGUAGCCGGCCUGAGAGGGUGGACGGCCACAUUGGGACUGAGACACGGCCCAGACUCCUACGGGAGGCAGCAGUGGGGAAUAUUGCACAAUGGGCGGAAGCCUGAUGCAGCGACGCCGCGUGGGGGAUGACGGCCAUCGGGUUGUAAACUCCUUUCACCAUCGACGAAGGGUUUCUGACGGUAGAUGGAGAAGAAGCACCGGCUAACUACGUG